rnacentral:tRNA from 1 species
GUGUCUGUAGCUCAGUUGGUAGAGCGCUCUCCUAGCACAUGUGAGGCACUGGGCUCGAUCCCCAGCACCAUA